GGCGUCGACGGGUAGCCGGCCUGAGAGGGCGACCGGCCACACUGGGACUGAGACACGGCCCAGACUCCUACGGGAGGCAGCAGUGGGGAAUAUUGCACAAUGGGCGAAAGCCUGAUGCAGCGACGCCACGUGAGGGAUGACGGCCUUCGGGUUGUAAACCUCUUUCAGCAGGGAAGAAGCGAAAGUGACGGUACCUGCAGAAGAAGCGCCGGCUAACUACGUGCCAGCAGCCGCGGUAAUACGUAGGGCGCAAGCGUUGUCCGGAAUUAUUGGGCGUAAAGAGCUCGUAGGCGGUCUGUCGCGUCUGGUGUGAAAUCCCAUGGCUCAACUGUGGGCUUGCAUCGGGUACGGGCAGACUAGAGUGCUGUAGGGGAGACUGGAAUUCCUGGUGUAGCGGUGGAAUGCGCAGAUAUCAGGAGGAACACCGAUGGCGAAGGCAGGUCUCUGGGCAGUUACUGACGCUGAGGAGCGAAAGCAUGGGGAGCGAACAGGAUUAGAUACCCUGGUAGUCCAUGCCGUAAACGUUGGGCACUAGGUGUGGGGCGGGUUCCACUCGUUCUGUGCCGCAGCUAACGCAUUAAGUGCCCCGCCUGGGGAGUACGGCCGCAAGGCUAAAACUCAAAGGAAUUGACGGGGGCCCGCACAAGCGGCGGAGCAUGCGGAUUAAUUCGAUGCAAACGCGAAGAACCUUACCAAGGCUUGACAUGUACGAGAACGCGUUAGAGAUAACGAACUCUUUGGACACUCGUACACAGGUGGUGCAUGGGUUGUCGUCAACUCGUGUCGUGAGAAUGUUGGGUUAAGUCCCGCAACGAGCGCAACCCUUAUCCUAUGUUGCCAGCGGGUCAUGCCGGGGACUCAUGGGAGACUGCCGGGGUCAACUCGGAGGAAGGUGGGGAUGACGUCAAAUCAUCAUGCCCCUUAUGUCUUGGGCUUCACGCAUGCUACAAUGGCCGGUACAGAGGGCUGCGAUACCGUGAGGUGGAGCGAAUCCCAAAAAGCCGGUCUCAGUUCGGAUCGGGGUCUGCAACUCGACCCCGUGAAGUCGGAGUCGCUAGUAAUCGCAGAUCAGCAACGCUGCGGUGAAUACGUUCCCGGGCCUUGUACACACCGCCCGUCAAGUCACGAAAGUUGGUAACACC
rnacentral:rRNA from 1 species